UACGGGGGGGGCAAGCGUUGUUCGGAAUUACUGGGCGUAAAGAGCUCGUAGGCGGCUCGUCGCGUCGACCGUGAAAACCCGCGGCUUAACCGCGGGCUUGCGGUUGAUACGGGCGGGCUAGAGUUCGGUAGGGGAGACUGGAAUUCCUGGUGUAGCGGUGAAAUGCGCAGAUAUCAGGAGGAACACCGGUGGCGAAGGCGGGUCUCUGGGCCGAUACUGACACUGAGGAGCGAAAGCCAGGGGAGCAAACGGG
rnacentral:rRNA from 1 species